UGCAGUCGAACGGCAGCACAGUAAGAGCUUGCUCUUAUGGGUGGCGAGUGGCGGACGGGUGAGGAAUACAUCGGAAUCUACUCUUUCGUGGGGGAUAACGUAGGGAAACUUACGCUAAUACCGCAUACGACCUACGGGUGAAAGCGGAGGACCUUCGGGCUUCGCGCGAUUGAAUGAGCCGAUGUCGGAUUAGCUAGUUGGCGGGGUAAAGGCCCACCAAGGCGACGAUCCGUAGCUGGUCUGAGAGGAUGAUCAGCCACACUGGAACUGAGACACGGUCCAGACUCCUACGGGAGGCAGCAGUGGGGAAUAUUGGACAAUGGGCGCAAGCCUGAUCCAGCCAUGCCGCGUGGGUGAAGAAGGCCUUCGGGUUGUAAAGCCCUUUUGUUGGGAAAGAAAAGCAGUCGGUUAAUACCCGAUUGUUCUGACGGUACCCAAAGAAUAAGCACCGGCUAACUUCGUGCCAGCAGCCGCGGUAAUACGAAGGGUGCAAGCGUUACUCGGAAUUACUGGGCGUAAAGCGUGCGUAGGUGGUGGUUUAAGUCUGUUGUGAAAGCCCUGGGCUCAACCUGGGAAUUGCAGUGGAUACUGGGUCACUAGAGUGUGGUAGAGGGUAGCGGAA
rnacentral:rRNA from 1 species